rnacentral:rRNA from 1 species
CCAGAGAUGGAUUGGUGCCUUCGGGAACUCUGACACAGGUGCUGCAUGGCUGUCGCCAGCUCGUGUCGUGAGAUGUUGGGUUAAGUCCCGUAACGAGCGCAACCCUUGCCCUUAGUUACCAGCACGUUAUGGUGGGCACUCUAAGGAGACUGCCGGUGACAAACCGGAGGAAGGUGGGGAUGACGUCAAGUCAUCAUGGCCCUUACGGCCUGGGCUACACACGUGCUACAAUGGUCGGUACAAAGGGUUGCCAAGCCGCGAGGUGGAGCUAAUCCCAUAAAACCGAUCGUAGUCCGGAUCGCAGUCUGCAACUCGACUGCGUGAAGUCGGAAUCGCUAGUAAUCGUGAAUCAGAAUGUCACGGUGAAUACGUUCCCGGGCCUU